UACGAGGGGGGCAAAUGUUGUUCGGAAUCACUGGGCGUAAAGGGAGCGUAGGCGGGUUCUUAAGUUAGGUGUUUAAUCCCGGGGCCCAACCCCGGACCGGCACUUAAAACUGGGAAUCUUGAAUAGUGGAGAGGUCAGUGGAAUUGGGGGUGUAGCGGUGGAAUGCGUAGAGAUCCCCAAGAACACCAGUUGCGAAGGCGGCUGACUGGACACAUAUUGACGCUGAGGAGCGAAAGCGUGGGGAGCGAACAGG
rnacentral:rRNA from 1 species